AGAACCUAGAAGUGCGUUCCUAAGGAUCUUCAGGAAAGAACAUAGAGCAACCAACAAUGAUGUACAGUGACCUGUGAGGUCUCAUUCAAUUACAAAGCGAGUAUAGGAAAAUCCAUCCCUUCGUUUACUCAGUCAUCCACUAAUUCUCACAAUUACAUAUUGAGGGACUACUAGGUAACAAACAUUUGGGCUAAAAGAGAUCCAGCUGCUGGGAGCAAUGAGAGCAGAGGUGAUGUUCGUGGGAUCAAUGCAACCCUGGAUUCUCUUGCCACCAGCCCUGUCUCCUGGGGAGCCAUUGAGUUAGUGGAAUCAGCAGUGGAAGAGAGGGUGAAAU
rnacentral:lncRNA from 1 species